ensembl:lncRNA
UGGAAAUAUUGAACUUUUUCACUGAGUAAAAGGGCCACGGUUGGCAGCAGGGUGGAGCAAAGCAAGUUUAAUGCCGUGUUUAGCCAUUGGUCUCUUUCUUAUGUCUGGUCUUCACAAGAUAAGGUCACGGGUUGUUUUAUACGAGUAUCUUUCAUUUAUUUGCACCGUAAACUCAGUCCUUUGUCUGGACAAUUGUUCCUUUAUGAUCUAGUCAGGUCAUUACAACAGUAAAAUGCUCUAAACACACUUUGCUGUCCUGUUUUCCAAUCGUCCACAUGGCUGGGAGAACCUAUUCAAGUAAGUAAAUACAUUUCUAAAAUGUAAUAAAAAUUUAAAAACGAUGUAUUAUUAGCUAACUAGCUACAGUGCUGAAAUGAGCUAGCUAGUUACAUAUCUAGCCAACGUUACAUACUGUAUAGAUAAGUGAAUUAAAUAUCACCAGCUAUCUAACUUCAUAUUUGCUAGCUAUCUUGAUGUAUUUAUCCCUGUAUAAAAACAAACUCCAAAUGCAUUUGUAGGUAGCUACCUAACAGCCAGAGAGGAGGGUGAAAGGAUAGCAGCCCCAACUGUGGAUAGAGCAGGUACUUUUGUGUAGUUCCAGUCCCUAGAAGUGAGAACCGAGAUAAUAGUAGUAUACUAUUCAGUGAGGUAUAAUGAAGUCUGUUUAUUGUGAGGUUUUCUGUCCUCGGUUACAGAGAGCUGUGAAAUCCUGUCUACUCAAAGGGGUGCACGUUUUUGCACUGCACAGCUGACACAAAUGAUCAACUCAUCAAGCUUCAAGUGGUAAUUAUGUAUUAAUUUGUGAUGCUGUCCUUGAUAUAGGCGGCAGGAUAGCCUAGUGGUUAGAAGUUUUGGACUCGUAUCCGAAAGGUUGUAAGAUUGAAUCCCUGAACUGACAAGGUAAAAAUCUGUCGUUCUGCACCUGAACAAGGCAGUUAACCCACUGUUCCUAGGCCGUCAUUGAAAAUAAGAAUUUGUUCUUAACUAGUCAAAUAAAAAUAGGAUCCUGCUAUUUACACAUGCAUCUAUCAAUCCAAUGUUAUCAUGAUUUGUUAUAAGGGAUAUUAUACUUUAGUAAGCCACAAUGACCUGGUGAUAUAAUGUCAAUAUUAGACUUAAAUUCCAUAUUCCUACGGAUACCUUGUAACUGGAGAUUCCUUCAAACCGAUUGCCUACAGUUAACAUGUAGGGCACUGCAAGGUUGGGUGACCAGGGCCAUCUGGGACUGCCUCCUGGAGGAAUUCAGGUGUGUGAAGGCUACCUGUGUCCUGCAUAACGUCAUGAGGAUGGACACGAGGACCAGGAGGAGGGGGGGGGUAUGUGUGCUGGAUUUCUUCACCACAUACUUUUUUGAGGAGGGUGCUGUUCCCUGGCAACACUGUAGACUACACUAUGCACAACCAAAGGCUCUUUUAAGAACCAUUCACAUUGCAGUAAGAGUAUUCUUCCAUUUACUUCGCUAUGUCAACUGCAGUUAUAUCAGUUUGAUCUCCAUCUCUUCAUUCAAAGACUCAAUCAUGGACACUCUUACUGAGUUGUUGCUGCUUUAUGUGAUGUAUUGUUGUCUUUACCUCCUUGACCUUUUGUGCUGUUUGUGCCCAAUAAUGUUUGUACCCUGUGCUCUUGUCAUAUUGUUACUACCAUGUUGUCAUGUUGAGUUGCUACCAUGUUGUCAUGUUGAGUUGCUACCAUGUUGUCAUGUUGAGUUGCUGCCAUGUUGUCAUGUUGAGUUGCUGCCAUGUUGUCAUGUUGAGUUGCUGCCAUGUUGUCAUGUUGUUACUACCAUGUUGUCAUGUUGAGUUGCU